rnacentral:sRNA from 1 species
GGCGUCGGCGGCGGCGGCGGCAGCCGGAGCGAGCAGUAGCCGAGCUGUAAUGUCUUACAAUAACAGAAUGCAGGAGAGCACAUAUCAAUGAAGAAAAGACAAAAUGUACUUAUCCAUGAAGCUGAGGUUAAGAAACCAGUGUCUUCAAGAGCCAGGGACAGCACUGGGUCUGUGCAGAGUUGAGAGAUGGUGAUGACAUGGUGAGACACAAAUUCAGUCUAUUUCAUAGUUUGUCUGUGGUCAUUCCUAUUAAUAAACUUCCUUUCACAACUGUUUCAAUAUUCACACAAAAAUGUUAACCCAAUCUGCAGUUAUACCCCUUGAAUGUAAAAUAAAAAACAAAAGCCCACAAAAAUAGGAAUCCACACUUAAAAGGUGGAUUUAUUUAGCACAGUACAGUUUCUUAGACUUCUCUAUCACUGUCUCUAACAAUGACAUACUCACCUAACCCCACCAACAGCAACUUUAUUUCGUCUCUAGUUUUCGUCUAAAGAUUCAUGUGGAUUUUAGAUUCUACUCUUUUGUAGGUUCGUAUUUGUACUAUUAUAAAAUGUGACUCUCUCUCCAAACUUUGCCUAAAUUAUGGAAUGAUUUUUCAUGUUUAUCCAGUGGUUUCCAGCGUUCUUGGCCCAGUCUGGGAUUCUACUCUUUUGUAGGUUCGUAUUUGUACUAUUAUAAAAUGUGACUCUCUCUCCAAACUUUGCCUAAAUUACGGAAUGAUUUUUCAUGUUUAUGCAGUGGUUUCCAGCAUUCCUCGCCCAGUCCAGGGACACUGUGGGUGUGCCCAGCUUAAGUCCAGUCCAGUAACUGGAAAUACAAGCCCAAGUUCUGGAGAGUUUGAGCUGCAG